AUUGAACGCUGGCGGCAGGCUUAACACAUGCAAGUCGAGCGAGCGGCGGACGGGUGAGUAAUGUCUGGGAAACUGCCUGAUGGAGGGGGAUAACUACUGGAAACGGUAGCUAAUACCGCAUACCAUCAGAGGUGCCCAGCUGGGAUUAGCUAGUAGGGGGGGUAAUGGCUCACCUAGGCGACGACCCCUAGCUGGUGUGAGAGGAUGACCAGCCACACGGGAACUGAGACACGGUCCAGACUCCUACGGGAGGCAGCAGUGGGGAAUAUUGCACAAUGGGCGCAAGCCUGAUGCAGCCAUGCCGCGUGUGUGAAGAAGGCCUUCGGGUUGUAAAGUACUUUCAGUCGGGAGGCGUUACCGACAGAAGAAGCACCGGCGAACUCCGUGCCAGCCGCCGCGGUAAUUC
rnacentral:rRNA from 1 species